rnacentral:rRNA from 1 species
GAUUAACGCUGGCGGCGUGCAUAACACAUUCAAGUCGAACGGGGCAGCAAUGCCUAGUGGCGGACGGGUGAGUAACGCGUGAGCAACCUGCCUGUGUGAGGGGGACAACACCUCGAAAGGGGUGCUAAUACCGAAUGACGUUUCCUAGUCGCAUGACCUGGAAACCAAAGGCCGGGCAACCGGUCACUGAAGGAUGGGCCUGCGUCUGAUUAGCUAGUUGGUGGGGUAACGGCCCACCAAGGCGACGAUCAGUAGCCGGUCUGAGAGGAUGAACGGCCACAUUGGGACUGAGACACGGCCCAAACUCCUACGGGAGGCAGCAGUGGGGAAUCUUCCGCAAUGGGCGCAAGCCUGACGGAGCAACGCCGCGUGAGUGAAGAAGGUUUUCGGAUCGUAAAGCUCUGUUGAGAGGGACGAGAGAUACAAUCAGGAAAUGGGUUAUAGAGGACGGUACCUUUCGAGGAAGCCACGGCUAACUACGUG